rnacentral:sRNA from 1 species
GCCGGGUGUGUGGCACACACCUGUUAUCCCAGCGGCUCAGGAGGCUGAGGCAGGAGGAUGGCGAGUUCAAAGCCAGCCUCAGUAAAAGCGAGGUGCUGAGCAGCUCGGUGAGACCCUGUCUCUA